rnacentral:rRNA from 1 species
GACGAACGCUGGCGGCGUGCUUAACACAUGCAAGUCGAACGGAAAGGCCCUGCUUGCAGGGUACUCGAGUGGCGAACGGGUGAGUAACACGUGGGUGAUCUGCCCUGCACUUCGGGAUAAGCCUGGGAAACUGGGUCUAAUACCGGAUAGGAGCCAUUUUUAGUGUGAUGGUUGGAAAGUUUUUUUCGGUGUAGGAUGAGCUCGCGGCCUAUCAGCUUGUUGGUGGGGUAAUGGCCUACCAAGGCGGCGACGGGUAGCCGGCCUGAGAGGGUGGACGGCCACAUUGGGACUGAGAUACGGCCCAGACUCCUACGGGAGGCAGCAGUGGGGAAUAUUGCACAAUGGGCGCAAGCCUGAUGCAGCGACGCCGCGUGGGGGAUGACGGCCUUCGGGUUGUAAACUCCUUUCGCUAGGGACGAAGCUUCUUGUGACGGUACCUAGAUAAGAAGCACCGGCUAACUACGUG